rnacentral:rRNA from 1 species
AAUGAACGCUGGCGGCAUGCCUAACACAUGCAAGUCGAACGAGACCUUCGGGUCUAGUGGCGCACGGGUGCGUAACGCGUGGGAAUCUGCCCUUGGGUUCGGAAUAACUCGCCGAAAGGCGUGCUAAUACCGGAUGAUGACGUAAGUCCAAAGAUUUACCGCCCAAGGAUGAGCCCGCGUAGGAUUAGCUAGUUGGUGGGGUAAAGGCUCACCAAGCCAACGAUCUGUAGGUGGUCUGAGAGGACGACCAGCCACACUGGGGCUGAGACACGGCCCAGACUCCUACGGGAGGCAGCAGUGGGGAAUUUUGGACAAUGGGCGCAAGCCUGAUCCAGCAAUGCCGCGUGCAGGAAGAAGGCCUUCGGGUUGUAAACUGCUUUUGUACGGAGCGAAAAGGCCCCCUCUAAUACAGGGGGCUCAUGACGGUACCGUAAGAAUAAGCACCGGCUAACUACGUGCCAGCCGCCGCAGUAACAC